rnacentral:rRNA from 1 species
UUUUAUUUGAGUUUGAUGAUGGCUCUGAGUGAACGCUAUGUAAAUGCUUGACACAUGCUAAUCGAACGUCAAUAUUUAAUUUGUAUAAAUUAUGUAUAUUGAAGUGGUGUACAGGUGAGUAAGUGGUAUUAUGGCUACCUAAGAGUAAGGCAAAAUAAAUCCCUUAUAAUAACAAUUUAUUAUAAUUUAUUAAUACUAUAUCUAAUCACCCGAUGGUCGAUUAUAUUGAAAAGUUUAGAUAUAAAGGUUAAUAAUAUUAAAAAUAAAUGUGUUUAAAAGAAAUAGUAUUUCGCUCUUAGUUGAUUAUUAAUAACCAUCGGAUAAGUAGUAAGUAUGGUAAUGGCAUAUUUAGCUUAUGUCCGUAGUCAAGACUGAGAGGUCUAUUGACCACACUGGGUCUGAAAAAACCCCAGUGCGUGUAGUACAGCAGUGAGGAAUUUUGGUCAAUGGCCUAACGGCUGAACCAGCAACUUGCAGGAAUGAGAGUUAAUAUAAUAAGUUUAUUAACUUGCUUGACUAGGUCUUAUAAAGUUCUGGAUAAAGCUUAUUAUGAAAACUUUAUAUCCAUAGGUCUCGACCAAAUCUUGUGCCAGCAGUCGCGGUAAGACAAGGGAGACGAGUGUUAUUCAUCUUUAACAGGUAUAUAGGGUACCUAGACGGUGUGCAAUGGCUUAAAUAAGUACCUGGUACACUUGAGUUUGAUAUGUGAGAGGAAUAUGUCGGAAUUGUUGGAGGAGAGAUGAAAUUUGUUGAUACCAAUAGGACUGAUAACGGCGAAGGCAAACCUCUAUGUACAUGUACUUGCUAUUUCUAAAUUAGAAGAAAUUUCUCAUAUAUAUUUUAUUUAAAGGAGGAAAAAAAGCGAUGUGAAAAAAGCGAUGUCCUUUUAAAAAGGGAUCUCUCGACAAAUUUUAUAUAAAAGAGGAAAAAAGCAAUGUGCUAUAACUGACGUUGAGGGACGAAGGCUCAGAUAGUGAAGAGGAUUAGAUACCCCCGUAACCUGGGCAGACAAUGAUGAGUGCCAUAGGUUGGCUUUAAGGCGGAACUAUAAAUGAAAGUGGAAGCACUCCACCUCAAGAGUAAUGUGGCAACGCAGGAACUGAAAUCAUUAGACCGUUUCUGAAACCAGUAGUGAAGUAUGUUAUUUAAUUCGAUGAUCCGCGAAUAACCUUACCACAAUUUGAAUGACCUAAAAUAUUGUUAGCCUAGGGCUAGUUAACCCUAGGUUAUAAAGUUUUAGACCACAUGCGUUGCAUGGCUGUCUUCAGUUAAUGUCGUGAGAUUUGGUUAGGUCCAUUAAAUUAACGUAAACCCUUGUUUUAUUUAUUACAAUAAAGCAGCUCUCCGCUUACAAUUGGAUGUGAUAAUAGGGACUAAGACAAGUCAUCAUGGCCUUAAUAUUGUGGGCUGAUAAGUGUUGUAGGAAUACACUAGAUUGGCUAAAACUAUCAAAUUACGGGGACCUCCUAAAGCUUCUGGUACCAAGCUGUAGUCGAAAGUCUACAAGUGGCUGAACUAAUUACUCA